UCGAUUUGCGGCUGGAUCCCCUCCUUUCUAGGGAGUGACGACCGAGAUGGGCGAUCCGUUACAGGAUCUCCAUUUCUGGGAUCAUCCCAGGUCGACAAAUCUUCCGACCGGGCUCACACCACUAUUCGAUAAUUCUUGGUUUCCAUUUAGAACCAUUGCGUUCUUAUCGGGCCUAUAGCUCAGUUGGUCAGAGCGCACGCCUGAUAAGCGUGAGGUCGAUAGUUCAAAUCUAUCUAGGCCCACCAUUCGGUUCUGGAGACGCUUCCUCAAGGCUUGGGGAUAUAGCUCAACUGGGAGAGCACCGCCUUUGCAAGGCGGGGGUUGCCGGUUCGAGUCCGGUUAUCUCCACCAAUCCGGGGAACUCUGGCAGUGGCCAGACAUGAUCUUUGACAAUCUGCAGGGUAAGAGAGCGGUAUCUUCCUUAGAUGCUAUUUUGAGAUAAAGCUACUAAGGGCGCAUGGCGGAUGCCUUGGCGUCGGUAGGCGAUGAAGGACGUGGUAAGCUGCGAUAAGCUCCGGUUAGGUGCACACGACCGUUAACCCGGAGAUUUCCGAAUGGGGAAACCCGG
rnacentral:misc_RNA from 1 species